GUCGAGAAUCUUUCGCAAUGGGGGAAACCCUGACGAAGCGACGCCGCGUGCAGGAUGAAGGCCUUCGGGUCGUAAACUGCUGUCACUUGGGACGAAUGGUAUCGGUAUUAACACCACCGGUACUUGACGGUACCGAGAGAGGAAGCCACGGCUAACUCUGUGCCAGCAGCCGCGGUAAGACAGAGGUGGCUAGCGUUGUUCGGAUUCAUUGGGUGUAAAGGGUGCGUAGGCGGUUUGGAAAGUCAGAUGUGAAAGCCCACAGCUUAACUGUGGAAUUGCAUCUGAAACUUCCAGACUCGAGUGCGAGAGAGGUGAAGGGAAUUCCCGGUGUAAGGGUGAAAUCUGCAGAGAUCGGGAGGAACACCUGUGGCGAAGGCGCUUCACUGGCUCGCAACUGACGCUGAGUGCACGAAGGCGUGGGGAGCAAACGGGAUUAGAAACCCUUGUAGUCC
rnacentral:rRNA from 1 species